rnacentral:lncRNA from 1 species
UAGGGAGUGCCCGCGUAGCCACCGAAGCAGGAAUAGGGCGAGGUGGCUUUGUAGGGACCCAGGAAUGCGGCUACGUCGGGAUCCAGGCAGGGCUUGCCGUCCAGUACCAGUACUGGCACUGCUACCCGGCGCGGUGCUAACGGGUGGCCGGCCAGUUCCAGAGUCUGGUCCUGGCGCUGACUCUUGGACUUGUAGCGCCGGUUUUGGAACCAGAUCUUGACCUGCGUGGACGUGAGCUGCAGCGCGCUGGCCAAGUGCUCACGCUCGGGCGCAGUCACUCGGCGCAUGUCGCCACUCAGGUUGCCCACGCCGCGAUCGGUCAUUGGGUUCCUGGCUCCAAGUCGGGAGAUCGUGCCCGGAGGAGUUUCUAAAGUCACAUGGAAGGAACACCAUCAACAGCCAGCAUCAGGCUCAGAGCCUGAAUAAAGUCUGGUACGCUGUGAGCCCCGGUCUACAUUUCGUUUCGCAAAUAGUCGACUUCGGAUCAUGUUGGCACUCCAGCCUGAGAAUGUCAGCUACCGAGAAAGGGGUGGAGGCCACAGGACUCGACAGCAUCUCGUAGCCGAGGGGCGGAGCUGGCAAGUUCUGGACCACAGCCAGGUGUCGCACCCCCAACUUCCUCUUCUGUAGUGGCAGUCCUAAUCGAUUCUGGGAUGCACACUAGGUCCUGGACCGCGCCUUCCCUUGACUGGGGCACCAGGACCGGGUGAUAAGAUCGCUGUCCUCCAUUGGUUCCCACAGAAACCACGUGCUAACCCUGAGCCUUCUUACCCAAAAACUGAGAGCUCCCGAGGGGUCCGGUCUGAGGGGAGCCUGCUAGAACCUGCUACCUGGAUUACCUGGAUGGCACUUGUGGGGCUAUUUUAGGGCAAGCAACCCAUCUGUUUUUCCCAGUUAACCCCUUCGAGGAAAAGGAAAAUCUGAGGAUAGAAAGCUGGGGAGUCCCCAAGAUAUGACAAGCCCGUGGUUCUCAACUGGUGUAAAGCUGGGUUUCUUCUCGGGAUACUAAUGACCAAUACAGCCUGAGGAGCAAUUCUUUUUGAGUCCAGCAGCGCCAGGGUCUUGUCACUUGACAGGGAAGGCAAAUUGAGUUGGGGGAGCUCUGGUCAUCUUUAAGUAUUUCUGGAUUGGUUGGGAAACAAGGGAACUGAAGCUAAAACUUAGAACAUUCUUUGACAACUGGAGACACUUUCAAAUACAACCCACAAAAGUCAGUUUCUUGUGGUCUUGCUAAUGCAGGGCAAGACUUGCAAUGGAGGGAUCAGGAUACCAACUCAUUCACAAAACCUUCGACCUACAAUUGUCCUGCCUACAAGAUGUGCUGGGACAGAAACCUAACAUAACCAUUAGAGAGGCUUCACCCAGAAACCGACGGAAACAAAUCCAGAAACCCACAGCCGAACAUUAGAACAAUUCAGUAGAAUGUGGAAACAGCUCUCAUUCCAAGCAAACCCAGAAGGGACUCUGGAGAAAGAAUGGCAGUGGUACCUGUUUGGAGCUUCAUGAGUCUCCUCAACUCCAUCACCUGCACUUUCAAGCUAAGCCAAAUGCAGCUGCUUGGCAACCAUAUUGUCUGUAUUUCCCCUACAAUUCCACUCAGUAUAUCUCUUAUACUAUGCUUCUUCCUAAGCAACGUCCAGUGAAUUUUGUUGAUCCACAUGAGACUAUUUUAGUACAUUCAAAAUGAUUCCAUUGAGUAGAUAUUCCUUGAGUGCCUCAUAUAUAUGGACCAAGGGUCCAAAUUGAACAAUGCAUUUUAUAAGGAAUUAUCCUUAUAUUAUCAAAGAGGUGUUGGGUAAUCUAGUAUUGUAUGGGAGAGCCAGCUUACCACACCGUGGACCAUAGGAUGCAUUGUCUUCUAAGUUUUUAGUCAUCUGAUGGAGAAGAAAUAGUAUCUCAGUGAUGUAUCCUCUUUGUUUGAGAGGCAUAUACAUGUGUAUGUGUAACAGAAUUCUCAACUUGACAGGCUUUAGAACUGCAUAGGAGGCAGACCCAGGCAUACCUGUGAAUGCUAUAUAGAUUGUGGUUAGCCUCUGAAAAAAUCUCUGUGUUCAUCAGUGUGGGAAGACCCAAACCUCAUCCCAGCAACCUGUAGUCAUUGGGAAAA